rnacentral:piRNA from 1 species
UUGCAAAAUACCUCAAGUGUG